rnacentral:lncRNA from 1 species
GGAUUAUCUGGGUCCUUGUAAGAUGCAAGGCCUUUGUUGGUAACUUUAAGAAUAGAACCAUCUUGAACACUAAGUUGCAGCUGUUCCGAAACAGUCUUCUUAUCUAAUCCAUGGGAAGCACAAACAGCGUGACAUAUUCUCUCUUCAGAUGGCCGUUGCUUUUGCUUUUUAACUUUUUGUAUAGCUUCAAGAAUCCACUCCGUAUAAAGUGGGUUGGCAAGUUUUACCAUGGUUGACCAGUAAUGGUUUACCCAUAGAGGUUCCUCCUUAUCCUUUCAGCAGAUCUUUCAGAGGCCGUUCACACCUCAAACACAAAUCAAAGGAUUCCACACACCACUUGGAUUCAUCUCAAAAAUAUCCAUCCUGAGGAGUCAGAGAAGGCAGGGAAAUAUCUGCUGGCUGAAGCUUCCAAUUACUUGACCAAAAUGGAAACGUGGAAAAGAUUCAUUCAUGAUGACAGGGGUACAUCCUUACAAAAAAAAAGGUACAACCUCGCGGGGCCGGGGCGCGGGGGGGAGGAGCCUCCUCCAGGCGCCGCAGCGGCUCCCCCUGCUGCCGGCUCGUCGUCCCCUGCUCCCGCCGCCGGGCUGCGCCGAGGCGGCUGCCCCCGCUGCCGCGCUGCCCCCCUGCCGGCAGCCGCCGCUACUCCCCCUACCGCCGCGGCUCGCCUCUCCUCACCUACGCCGCCAUUUUGUUUCGCCCUGUUG